CGAACGCCGGCGGCGUGCUUAACACAUGCAAGUCGACCGGAAAGGCCCUGCUUUUGUGGGGUGCUCGAGUGGCGAACGGGUGAGUAACACGUGAGUAACCUGCCCUUGACUUUGGGAUAACUUCAGGAAACUGGGGCUAAUACCGGAUAGGAGCUCCUGCUGCAUGGUGGGGGUUGGAAGGUUUCGGCGGUUGGGGAUGGACUCGCGGCUUAUCAGCUUGUUGGUGGGGUAGUGGCUUACCAAGGCUUUGACGGGUAGCCGGCCUGAGAGGGUGACCGGCCACAUUGGGACUGAGAUACGGCCCAGACUCCUACGGGAGGCAGCAGUGGGGAAUAUUGCACAAUGGGCGGAAGCCUGAUGCAGCAACGCCGCGUGCGGGAUGACGGCCUUCGGGUUGUAAACCGCUUUCGCCUGUGACGAAGCGUGAGUGACGGUAAUGGGUAAAGAAGCACCGGCUAACUACGUG
rnacentral:rRNA from 1 species